UACGUAGGAUGCAAGCGUUGUCCGGAAUUAUUGGGCGUAAAGAGCGCGCAGGCGGUUUGCCAAGUCAGAUGUGAAAGAGGCCGGCUUAACCGGCAAGGGUCAUUUGAAACUGACAGACUAGAGUGCAGCAGAGGAUAGCGAAAUUCCCGGUGUAGUGGUGGAAUGCGUAGAGAUCCGGAAGAACACCAGUGGCGAAGGCGGCCCGCUGGGCAGUGGCUGACGCUGAGGCGCGACAGCGUGGGGAGCAAACAGG
rnacentral:rRNA from 1 species